AUUGAACGCUGGCGGCAGGCCUAACACAUGCAAGUCGAACGAGUGGCGGACGGGUGAGUAAUGUCUGGGAAACUGCCUGAUGGAGGGGGAUAACUACUGGAAACGGUAGCUAAUACCGCAUACCAUCAGAUGUGCCCAGAUGGGAUUAGCUCGUAGGUGGGGUAAUGGCUCACCUAGGCGACGAUCCCUAGCUGGUCUUAGAGGAUGACCAGCCACACUGGGACUGAGACACGGUCCAGAUUCCUACGGGAGGCAGCAGUGGGGAAUAGUGCACGAUGGGCGCAAGCCUGAUGCAGCCAGGCCGCGUGUAAGAAGAAGGCCUUCGGGUUGUAAAGUACUUUCAGCGGGGAGGCGUUACCCACAGAGGAAGCACCGGCUAACUCCGUGCCAGCAGCCGCGGUAAUUC
rnacentral:rRNA from 1 species